CUGGUUGAUCCUGCCAGUAGUCAUAUGCUUGUCUCAAAGAUUAAGCCAUGCAUGUCUCAGUAUAACCUUUUCCAUGGGAAAACUGCGAAUGGCUCAUUAAAACAGUUAUAGUCCACUUGAUGUUGGCUGUUAUACGGAUAACUGUGCUAAUUGUAGAGCUAAUACGUGCGUACAAACCCGACUUCUCGGAAGGGUUGUAUUUAUUAGAUACAGAACCAAACGGGGCAACCCGGCAUUGGAUGAUUCACAGUAAAUGAAUGGAGCGUAUGACUUGUGUCGGCGCUGUAUCAUUCGAGUUUCUGACCUAUCAGGUUUCGAUGGUGGGGUAUUGGCCCACCAUGCCAUUGACGGGUAACGGAGAAUUAGGGUUCGAUUCCGGAGAGGGAGCCCGAGAAACGGCUACCACAUCUAAGGAUGGCAGCAGGCGCGCAAAUUACCCAAUGAGGACACCUUGAGGUAGUGACAAGAAAUAACGGCACAUGCCUUAUUGGUCUUUGUGUCUGGAAUGGGAUAGAUUUAAAUCCCCUUUCGAAUUCAAUUGGAGGGCAAGUCUGG
rnacentral:rRNA from 1 species